rnacentral:misc_RNA from 1 species
GAACGCACCUUGCGCCCCUUGGCUAUUCCGAGGGGCAUGCCUGUUUGAGUAUCAUGAACACCUCAACUCUCACGGUUUGCCGUGGUGAGCUUGGAUGUUGGGGGUUUUGCUGGCCUGUGGUCGGCUCCUCUCAAAUGAAUCAGCUUUCCAGUGUUUGGUGGCGCCAUGGGUGUGAUAACUAUCUACGCUUGUGACUGUCUGCCAGGUAACCUUCCGCAAUGGGGGUUUGCUGGAGCUCACAAAUGUCUCUCCUCAGUGAAGACAGCCUUUUGAACGUUCGAUCUCAAAUCAGGUAGGACUACCCGCUGAACUUAAG